rnacentral:tRNA from 1 species
CCCUGGCCAGCCCGGCCCGAGGCCCGCGCCUCGGGCGCGCGGGCGCAACGCUUCGUUUCAGCGUUCGAAGCAAGCGGC